UUUUUUUUAUUAAAAGACCAUCUAAGAUUCGAACAACAUCUGGUGUCCAAUUUGUGGGGCACGAAUUCACAAAAAAAGCUGCUUGCCUGUGGUCUUGCAGGCUCUGGCCCAGGCCCGAGCUACACGCGGCCAGAGUCUCCACUCCAUGUGGGCCAGAGUCCCUAACCCGCUGGCUAAGUUUAUGUUGCAGCCUCUCUGCAGCAAACUCCAUGGGUUUUUUUUGGGGGGGGCUCCCAAAACUGUAGGAGUCAGCCGCUUUCUUGUGUUCCCUCACGCAGAUGGCUGGCUCUUUGGCUUCUUCUCUCCUGGUGGGUUGUGGGCUCUCCCUGGAUCCCCAUCUUGGGCUGCUACCACACUAGGUAGCUGCCUUGAAACCUACUCAGGCUUCUACUGUUCUGCUUCUCUGAUCUUUCAGCUUUCACCCUGAAUCUGGCUCUGGGUUUUUUAUUAAAAGACCAUCUAAGAUUCAAAAAACAUGUUAUAUUUAUAAUUAUAUUCUUAUAUUCUCCUGUAGGUCAAACAUAUGCAUAUGACAACUAAGAUAUAUCACAACCUCCCCUUUGGUACAACUGGUUAUAGGUGCUUCUUUCUUACCUGCAAGAUUAGAAGCAACCUGAAGGCAGGAACCAUUAUGUCCACCUCUCUUUACGACUUCCUAUAUACCUCACAGUUCAGUUUCCCAAAUUACCAAGCACACCAUCCUAGCCCAUCAUCUCCUAUGAUUCAAGAGUGAAGGUGUUUUUCUUGUCCUGGCCAAGAUCCUCAUACCAGUCACUGUGACUGUGGUACGGUGAUAACACAGAUGUCCAUGGUCCACACAAGGGCAACCCCUGGCCAAUGAAUGACCCACACUGGUGACCAUCUCUAUGAUGUAGGUCAUUUUCAGAGUAUCUAGUAUCCCAGUAUCUAAUGCCAGUCUUUAUCUCUUCCCCUAAGCUUUCCCUCACUUUCUUAAGAAGCCCCUUCUUAGGGCUUGUUUCUAAAGAACCUUCUUCCCCCAAGAUACCAAGAAGGUCCUUCCUUUAUGCCCUUUCUCUGGGUCCAUGUUCACCCCUCAACACUCAGCUCAGCUCUCUGCUUCUAUGCAUAUUUUUCUAGGCAGAAUCCAGUCAUCUAACAGACAUUAGUGUGGCAACUACUAUCUACCAAGCAUUGUGCUAGGCUGGGGCAAGGCAUGAGCCCCUUUUCCAGCAAGGCAAGGACUUGGACAGAUGGUGAGACCGUCUGAUAAAAGCAGCGACACAGGUACAGAGAUGCAUGGGCCUCACACUCAGCCAGGGGGACAGAAACAGUGGGGUCUGCAGAAGACGAUACUCACAUGGAGUCUUAAAGGAUACAUUGGGUGGAUGAGGUGAGGAGGAAUGAGAGAAGAUAAGGGAACUCCAAGGAAAGAGCAUAACUCAAGCAAAAGCCCAGACCAGACAAAGCAGCUUCCUGACAAUGAAAGAUGAUCACACUUUAGUGCUGAUGGAAAAUCAAAUGCAACCUUGGGGGUAGAAGAUGAUCUGAAGACAGAGAGGCUGGAAGGACAGCCUCGUUUUUAGUGUCAUGACAGAAAGCCUGACCUAUGGAGGUCACACUUUGGGUGAGGGGAGGUUAUCUACGAUCUUAACAGGAGAAUUUAAAUAGAAUAAUGAGAUCAGAAGUCAGAUUACAAAGUACACUGUACAUAAAAUAACAAGUAGGAGAUCCAGAAAGAAAGAAGGCCCACAGAGGAGUUUUGUUAGGAAGGGAGGAGGGAUAGGAGAGAGCUGGAGGAGGGAUGAGCAUUGGUGUAGAGUAAGCCUGUUUGUGGUAAUCAGGGAAAGGCUGUGGAAAGUAAAGGCUGAAGACAUGGGAGGAAGGGAAGAGGGCAGAAGGGUUGCAUCCACGGGGUUAGGGACAACGGGAAGGGGAGAUGUCUGCGUCUGGGCAGGGGGAGAAUAAGAGACACAAUUCCUCAAGGAUGGAGGGAGGACAAAGAGGCGAAACACAGCUUGUUUUCCAACAGGAAGCCUAAAGGUAGAAGUAGGCGGGCCAUGUGCAAACACAAAUGGCUGCCCAGCAGAUCACCAGGGAAGGGGAGGCCACAGAAGCUCAGAGCCACCCUGAAGGCUCACACUCCUGGCUAGUGAGUGCAGCUUGCUCUUCUGGUAUUCUGGGUUCUUUCCUACCUGAUGUCACACAGGAGACACCAUCCCAGGGAGGCACAAUAAUGGGAUUAAACCUUGUACAUGUCACUGCCAAAGAGAACCUUGAAAGAAAGCAUACCCUCCAACUCUAACAAGUUCAAGUCUCCCUGUCUCUGUUACCCCAUGAUGCUACCUGUAUCAUAACCUACUACCCCGACUCUCUCUGGGAAUAAGGAGUAGGAGACUAGGGACCCCAGGGAGAGGAGUUCAGACAGAAGGAAAGUAGGAAGCUGAUAUUGCCAAAGGGUUAGAUGGGUGGAGAUAAAGGUACCACAGAGGGUGAGUAGAAGGCACAAGGACAGUACUUACCACACAUAAGCAUCUCCAUGUUCAGAGGGAACUGAAUCCUUCACCCCUGAAGAUACCAACUCCAAGGAUGCUAGAGACCCUUCUGUAAAAUACUGACAUUCUAUCCAUAGAACCUACACACAUUGUCCACCAGGCCCAUUCAACCACAUGUACCCCAGUACAACUCAACACCAAAUCAUAGAUUUACUUAAAGUGUUAUGAAUUGUUUUGUUGUUGUUGUAGGUGUGUGUGUGUGUGUGUGUGUGUGUGUGUGUGUGUGUGUGUGUGUGUGUGUUUGUGUGUGUAACUCAGAUAUUAGCUGUGCAGAUGACGAUGCUUUGUGACAAUAUCAAAGAGAUAGACACACCUGCAUGACCAUCCUCAAGUUAUUUGUAUGAUGUAGAUGCCAUGCUAACAAUGCUGUACACAUAGUUUAGGGAAGAAUGAAAAAAAAACUGCAUAUGCAGAAUAGAUAUAAAUGUCAUACCCAUGGUUAAUGAUGUUGGUUGAGCCUGUAGAUGUGAAAACUAUGGCAGGGAGCUCUGACUUCACUGGAGAUGAGAUCACAUGUCAUCAUUUCAGUGAUGGUUUCCCUCUGCAGAUUCUAUCCUCACAUCCCACACUCUGCCUUCUCUCUAGGUCUGCCCUGGUGCUUCCCUGACCCAGAUGCUCUUAGCUCACUCUCUGCCCAGUAGACAGACUCCUUCAGGUUUAGAUCUGGGUCACCUCUUCCAAGAAGCCUUCCCUGAAGCCCUAAAACUGACCUAGACAAAUUCUGUUCUGUUUUGUGCCCUUUGCGCAGAACACUUUUGCAUGCUUCCUGAUUAUGCUGACAUUGACUACUACCAGGUCCAUUUCUCCCGCUAGGUUUCUUAUGAGGGAAACCAUUUUUACUUAUUUUUGCUGUUUUUUUUUUUCAUUCUUAAUGCCAUUGUGUAACACAUUCUUUGGCUGAGGAGAUACUUCCUAUAUAAUCAUGAGGACCUGGAUUCGAGUCCCAAGAACACACAGAAGGCUGAACACAGUGGCACAUGUCCUUAACCCUGUAUUCUGUGGGAAGAUGAGAGGCAUAGAUAGGAGAAUCUACAGAUGCUUCCAGGCCAGCAGGCAUGGUGAACUCAGUGAUGAAUGAGAGACACGAUAUCAGAUAAGGUGGAAUUUGAGGACCAGCAUCCAAUAUGGUCCUAUGACCUCCACAUGCAUGCUGUGUGGAAUUCACGUGCUUAUACUCAAACACAUGAAUGUGCAUGCAUACACACAGAGAUUUUUUUAAAAUUUUCAUUUAUUUAUUUAUUUAUUGUUUGUUUGUUUUUUGAGACAGGGUUUCUCUGUGUAGUUUUGGUGCCUGUCCUGGAUCUCACUCUGUAGACCAGGCUGGCCUUGAACUCAAACUCACAGAGAUCCGCCUCACUCUGCCUCCCGAGUGCUGGGAUUAAAGAUGUGCACCACCGCUGCCUGGCUAAGUUUUCAUUUCCUAGCACAGAGAAGCUUGUUGAACCAAAUUGUAUCAGAGUGAAGCUCCAAAGCCUAAUAAGAGGUUGAGAGGCUCCUCCACAGCCCUACCUGGUCUGUACAGAGCAUGUUUGUUUUUAGUUUUAUUUGGCCUUGUUGAUUUUCUCAUUUCCUGCAGCACAGUUCAGUGCACAAGAGGUCAGAAUCAUAGAAAAAAAUCUCAUGUCCCAGGGAGUGACAUCGAUGUCAUCCUCCACUUCUAAGAGCACCGGUGGUGACCUGGGGCUCUGGGCUACAGUUGGUCUUCUACUUUAUUUCCCACUGUCAUGAUGACAGCCAUUAUUCUUCAGCUAUGGUGACUAAUAAUAACAUCAUGGGAAAAACAAAUGCAAAUCACUGAAUAAGCAGGUCCUGUAAUGCAUAUUAAUAAUUCAAAGUAACUGCUAAAUCUAUCCCAUGGGCUCCCAGAGUAAAAAGCCUUCAGUACUGCCUGAAUUCGGCCUUCUUGUCAGGAGUUUGAAAGCUAUGUACUCUGUUCCCAGCAUGGCACUUAGAAAAAAGGGCCCUGGCCAGGAGUCCUCAUGACUCCUUCAUCUCCUCAUCCUUGAUGUUCAUUUCUCUCUAGUUGAUCCUGUUGUGAGUGGAAUUUUGUACCCCAGAAAGAUAAACUGAGGCCUUAACUUGUGGUACCUGUGAAUGCAGCCUAAAUUGGGAAACAUAGUCUUCAAGAACAUAACCACGAUGAGAGGAGAUCAUGGUAGAUUAUGUGGACCCCACAUCCAAUGAUGGCUGUCCUUCAAAGAAAAGGGUGAUAUGGAUAGUGAUAAACAGAGUGCAGAGGGUCCUUAUGGCUCUUAUCCAUGAGUGCAUCUCAUAAGACUGGGACAGGGCAUAUGCCUAGAAGGUGGGAUGACUCUUUGUGGGGCUUAAUCCAAUGAUGGAAGAGAAAGAAAGGUAGCAUCCAAAGAGAAUGGGGAACUAGUUCCUCUGAAGGAGAGAAGAGGCAUGAAGUGUUCAUAAAUGUGCUGGCUAGUGGUGUUUUGUUUUGUUUCGUUUUGUUUGUUUAUUCCUCUUGUCUAUUGUUUGGUUGUUUUGUCAACUUGACACAAGCCAGGAUCAUCUGGGAAGAAGGAGCCUCAGCUGGAAAGAAGCCUCCGUCAGAGUGCCUGAGGGCAAGUCUGUGGGACUUUCUUCAUUAACGUUGAUGUGGGAGGGCCCAGACCGCUGGAGGCAGUGCUGCCCCUGGACUCGUGGCCCUGAGUUAUCUAAAACAAAGCAAGCCGAGCAAGCAGUGCUCCUCCAGGUUCCCUUUAGUUCCUGCCUUGCCUUCCUCUGAUGACGAAAGCCAAACCAACCUUUUCUCUCCCGAGUUGCUUUUGGUCAUGGUGUUUAUCACAGCAAAAGGAAGAAAAUGAAGACAAGAAGAACCCAAUGAGCUGUCUGUGCAAACAACUAGGAAGAGGUUAAAAAAGAAACCUGUACGACCUCAGAUAUCUACACCUCAUGCAAGACAGGUAGAAGUGGGACAUGUAGUAAAGCAGGCUAAAGGACCCUCUCCAUUUCCAUUGACUACAAUACCAUACGGCUUUGGAGUUGACGGCCACUUCAACACUGAUUAUAUAUGUCUGGAUAGAGGAAUUUUCACACUUGUCUCUAAAUUAUGAAUGCUAUAGCACUCACUGCAGGUUUAUGGGGAAAGCAAACAACAUGACUUAUUUAAAUGGCUGUUGCUUAUGA